rnacentral:tRNA from 1 species
GGGCGAUUAGCUCAGUUGGUCAGAGCGCACGGAUCACACCCGUGAGGCCGCCGGUUCGAGUCCGGCAUCGCCCA